AGAGUUUGAUCCUGGCUCACAGUGAACGCUGGCGGCGUGGCUAAGGCAUGCAAGUCGCACGGGGCAGCAAUGCCCAGUGGCGCAAGGGUGAGUAAUGGAUAGCUAACGUACCCUGAACUGGGGCAUAGCCAGUCGAAAGACUGGGUAAUUCCCCAUGAAGUCGCGAUGCGGCAUUGUGUUGCGACCAAAGAUGAGGACCGCAAGGCUUAUCGGUUUUGGAGCGGGCUAUCUGCUAUCAGCUUGUUGGCGAGGUAACGGCUCACCAAGGCUAUGACGGCUAGCUGGUCUGAGAGGACGACCAGCCACAUUGGCACUGAGACACUGGCCAGACUCCUACGGGGGGCUGCAGCAACGAAUCUUCCCCAAUGCCGGAAACGGUGAGGGAGCGACGCCGCGUGAAGGACGAAGUUCUUCGGAAUGUAAACUUCUGUAAGGGUCAUGAAAGCCUUAGGGCUAAUAUCCCAAAAGGUUGAUCUGACCCCUAAAAGGGGCGGCUAACUCUGUGCCAGCAGCCGCGGUAAUACAGAGGCCCCAAGCGUUACUGAGAAUCACUGGGUUUAAAGGGUGCGUAGGUGGUCCGUUAAGUUCGUUGUGAAAGCCCUGGGCUCAACCCAGGAACUGCUUCGAAUACUGGCGGACUUGAGGCCGGUAUGGGUCACUGGAACUGACGGUGGAGCGGUGAAAUGCGUAGAUAUCGUCAGGAACGCCAAUGGUGAAGACAGGUGACUGGGCCGGAUCUGACACUGAGGCACGAAAGCGUGGGGAGCGAACGGGAUUAGAUACCCCGGUAGUCCACGCCCUAAACGAUGCAGACUAGAC
rnacentral:rRNA from 1 species